UCUAUGCUGGCUCAGAUGGUAAAGAAUCUGCCUGCAAUGCAGGAGACCCAGGUUCGAUCCCUGGGUCAGGAA
rnacentral:tRNA from 1 species